UACGUAGGCAGCAAGCGUUGUUCGGAAUCACUGGGCUUAAAGGGUGCGUAGGCGGCGCGGAAAGUUGGGUGUGAAAUCCCUCGGCUCAACCGAGGAACUGCGCCCAAAACUACCGUGCUCGAGGAAGAUAGAGGUGAGCGGAACUUAGGGUGGAGCGGUGAAAUGCGUUGAUAUCCUAAGGAACACCGGUGGCGAAAGCGGCUCACUGGAUCUUUUCUGACGCUGAGGCACGAAAGCUAGGGUAGCGAACGGG
rnacentral:rRNA from 1 species